CUGCCAGUCAAGUGCAGGUGCUGUGCUUCGUGCCAUGCAGCUGUUGUUUUUAAACUCCUGGCUAGAUGACAGCCAGGGUACGAGCCCCUUCAUCUGCCCGUGGUGUCUGGGGUCCCUAAGAAAUGGCUACAUUC
rnacentral:snoRNA from 14 species